UGAAGAACUUCCUAUUAGACAUAAAAUAUUUUGAUUUCUAUAUGUGAAGAAAUCUACUUCAAUACAUAUAUCAUGAUUGUAUCAAUACUGAUCAUCAUUGGUUAGAUACAAUCACUGAAUCGCAUAUAGAUUAGAUUAACAAUUGUGAUGAAUUAAGAAUCCUAGAUGAAUUAUCUGAGUUAUCCUUAACAUCUCAUAUGGAUUAGAUUAGCAAUAACAAUUAGUGGAUCCUGAUAACAUACAUUAGCAACAAA
rnacentral:misc_RNA from 1 species